CUCCGCCCUGGCCCUGGCCCGGGUCCGACUCCUCCGACUCCUCCUCUGUGUCAGCCUCCUUUCCUUUCUCUGCUCCCUGUGCCUGGUCCCCCCUCCCCCCCCUCUAACAGCUCUCCCCUCCUUUUAUGCCUUCCUUGUACCAGGGCGCUUCCCUCAGUCAUUGACAGCCCCCGCCCCAUCCUUGUGUCAGCUCCCCUCAUCCCUGUGUCGGAUUCCCUCCAUGGGACAGCCUCCAUUUCUGUAUAGGAUUCCCUCCGUGUGUCUCUCCGUGUGACAGCCCCCCAACUCAGUAUGGCGUUCCUCCAUGUACCAGCCCUCCAUCUCUGUAGGGAUUUCCUCCAUGUACCAGCCCUCCAUCUCCGUAUGGGUUCUCCAUGUGACAGCCCCCUCCAUCCCUUUAGCAAGACUCUUUGGUCCCAGUGACAACACCCCCACUCCUGUGGAUCAAUCAGCCCCCCAGCUCCAUCCCUUUGUCAGGCCCCUCCCCUUCUUCCCUCUUCCAUAAUCCCUAUUUCAGGCCGCUUCCAUCAACAUAGCAGAUUUUUCCUGUUAGCGCUUUCUCUCUUCCCCAUCUUUUUGCAGGGUUUCUUUUCCAUCACUUUGCUUCUCUGCUCCUCUUAAGUCUCUUUUUCUUCACUAUCCUAUGCCUUUAAUAUAUUCAUUGACCAUUAUUUAUUGUUGUACCCAGCUCAGGGCUGGGGGUAUGUGGAGUUUAGGAAAAAGGAGCCACAUGGUCUUUUUAUUGGGGGAAUUUAUAGUCUUAAUUAAUUCAUCACUUUAUUGUGUUCCGCUGGAGAGACUGCAGAGUGCAUGACCUUAAAGAAAUUCGGGAAGUUUCAUAGAGGCCAGAGAGUUCCUAGAGGAACUAGGCCUUAGGGUGGAUCAGGAAGAAUAUUUGGGAAGUUUUGUUGAGGGAGGUAAGGGAGGGCUUUCCAGAAUGGAACAGAAAAUGAACAAAGUCCCAGAUAUGGUGAAAUCACAAAAUCAUAGAUUCAGAGCCAAGCGGGACUCAGAAAUUACUUAUACCAAAGAACAUAUUUAUAGGUGGAAAAACUGAGGCUUGGAGAGGUUAAAUAACUCAAGGUCACAUAGCUAAGUAAAUAACACAGGUAAGAUUUAGCAUGACUUCCAUUGUAUCACAAGGGACAAAUACUUCUUUUAAGGGACUGUUUGAUCAUCUCACGAGUGACAACUUCAUCUUGCUUACACUCCUCGGUAACAGCUGCAUCUGGUCACUCUAGGCUCUCAUUUACAGGAGCCCAGGUCCAGCUGUUUUACCUUUGCACGUUUUAGCCUCUUAUUUAUCUUUCCUCUUUAUCAGUCCUCACAUCUACAGAAACUGAUCUGUAUUGAAAAGCACAUUCAGUUUUUCCCUUUCCCCUCUCCAUUGCACCUUUCUGUGAUAGUAGAUAGCUCUUAACUACUUUGGUACCAAUUCCAUCUCUUUUAAUUCUUGGUUUUACCCCUUGCCAGACAAAGGACUACCUUUCUUUGUUUCCAGUUCUUCAAGGGAAUGAGUUGUUACCUCUCCACCAGAGGGCUGUCUGUCCUGUGUGAGGCAAGGCCAAUUACUCCCCUCCAUUCAUCCCUAGCCUGAUUAGUUCCCUGUUUUCUUAUGCUUCUGGCAGUAGUCUCCAUUGAUGAUUGAUUUUUUUUUUUUUUUUUUUUUUUUUUUACAGUAGCUUUGGAAUAAGUUGGAGAUAGAAAUGGAAAAUGAUUCCUCUUUUUAUGUAUGAUUUUAUUAAUUCUGUAACUUGUAUAGUGUUUUUUAAGAACCAAUUCAUUUUCCUAAGUCUGUUUUGGGAAAUAUGGGGUCUUUAAACAGAGGGAGAAUAGAAUUUACUCUUUUUGCUCCAGAGGACAGAACGAGGAGCAAUGGAUAGAAUUUAAUAGGGAGGCAGAUUUCAGCUCAGUAUAAGGAAACACAAUAAUUAGAGCCUUCUAGCAGUGAAGUGGGUCACCAAGGGUAGUAAAUUUCUCCUUCCUGCAGGUCUCUGACCUGAAGCUGAGUGAUCACUUAUUAAGGAUUAUGUAGAAAGGAGUCAUAUUUUAGGAAGGUAUUGAACCUAGAUACUCUCAGGUCCCUUUAGAAGCAUAUAAUUUUAAACUAUGCAGAAGCUACUGAUAGAGAAUGCUUGUUUAGGUGCCAUUGUAUGAUUUGCCAAAUGAAUGUUUUACCCUGACAUGUGGUCAGUUAGUCUUGUUGUUGACAAAGAUAACAAAGUAUUAGAGCAACUAGAAAUAAGUUUUAUUGUACCAUUGAGGGCAAUUCUAUACCAGUCACUUAGGUGGUAACAGUCUGAGAAAUGGAUUGUAAUCCUUCCUUUAAUGGCAGUGUCAGGAUGUUUGUUGAAAGUGAUAUUCCUGUGUUUUUUUUGCAUCUUUUUUCCCCUAGGUGCAGGCCAUUUCACAGAUAGGAGAAAACAUGCUGUUUGAUUAAAAAGACCAUGGGCUUAGUAGCUUGAUUAGUAACUUCAGGAAUUAAGUGUGAAGGAAUUUCAGGAAUUAAAUGUGAAGAUUUGCACAUGCAGGAUGCCCUUGGCUGCUUCAACCAUGCCAUUCGGAAAGGCUUGGGAAUUCUUACACUGAAGAUCAGUAAAAUAAAAAAAAAUCAAUUUCACAUGUAAUGCUGCUGAGAGAUGACCUUCAGGUGAACGGUUCUUCACUCUCUGAUGUGUCUUCUGGUCACCACAAAGUUGUUUGCUAAUAGGAGUUGAAAUUCUCAAGAGCUGAAUCUCUAAGAGGUCCUGACUCUGCAUCAGUAUGUACAACCAUCAUUCACCUUACAACUCACAGAAACAAUAUCUUAUUCAAUUUCAUUGUUACACAUUUUGAAUUUACUUUCCCAGAAAGUCUGGAAAUACAUUUAUUUCAGUUGAAUUGCUAUUAAAAUGUCCUUCAAGAUAAGGCAGAGAAUACUGGAAUAGAAAUCAGGAAACCUAGCUCUAGUCCUGGCUUUGCCAUUUAAUAGCUAUAUGUCAGGGGACAGUAGCUUUUCCUACUCUGGGCUUUAGUUAUCUCUCUGUCAAAUGGAAAGGGGGAGGUGGACUAGAUUAUCUUCUAAGAUACAUUCCAGCUCUAAUAUUCUAUGGUUUUAAAUAGUCUUGGAUGAUUUUGGUUUAGGGCAUUAAGGAGAUAAGCUGGAUUUAAGAUAUUUAAAAAUAAUGAGAGUUGUUAAAAAACAAACAAAAUCACAACAUUUAAUUUGAAGUCAGAUGCUCUGCAUUUGAAUCUCAGUUUUAUACAGGCUAUCCAUAUAAUGUAGAGGAAGUUAUUUCUCUUUAGACUUUAAUUUCCUCAUCUCUAAAUUGAGGUGUUUGGACUGCAUGAAUUCUAAGAUUCUUUCUAGAUAUGAUGCUAUAACCAUAGAAGCAUUCUAAUGCAAUCAUUACUCAGAAUAUGAAUCAUUUCUACAAAGCUUUCUUGACAGGUGGCUGUUAAACUUCUGUGGCAACACCUCUCAACCCACUCCACUGUUAGAUAGCUCUGAGGGUUAGACAGUUUCUAAACUGAACUGAAAUCUGGCUUCUUAUAAUUGCCCCCACUGAUUUUAAUUAUUUCCUCUGGAGCCAAAGGAAAAGUAUAUUUAAUUCCUUUUCCAUGUGAUAGAUGAUGCUUUAGAUUUUUGCAUAGACUCUGGCAAUCAUGUUCUCAUUAGUUCUUCUAAUAGAAAUCUCAUAUAUCUUACAGUGCUUCACAUAUUUCAAAAAUGCUUUUCUACACAUUGAAUUAUUUGAAAAUCACUAAAUACUUGCAACUAAAAACUGCUGGGUUAGUAUAUAUUUCAGUAAACCUUUGCUGAACAAUACCUGUGUUCUAGGGAAGACCCUAACCUGUAGGAUGUCAGAGCUGGAAGGGACCGUAGAAUUUAAUCACCUCAUUUUUUGGAAAAUUAGUAGUCAGUAAAAGGAAUGAUCUUCUCCCAGGUUAUGUGAUGACUAGUGGCUGAGCCAGUACUGCCUGGACCUCCAGAUUCCCAGAUUCCCUGGCCUCUUUUAUUUCACUGCCUCCUGACGCUAUUCUAGGGAGAAGAGAUUGGGUGGAGCCAUUGUUUCAUCUAUUUACUCUUAUUCCUGGCAAGUGACAUUUUACUUGGCUUAUCAACAUUGAAUUUAACAACUAUUUCCUUAAGAAGCCUAAUUUGCUUAGUUCCAAGUACUUUCUUUGUGGAAGUGUUUCCUCUUUCCA